UUUUUUUUUUUAUUGCCCUUAUAGGCAGACGAGCAUACGGCCCACCUGAUGGUGAGUGGUUACCGUCGCCCAUGGACUUCAGCAAUGCCAGGGGCAGAGCCAAGCCGCUGCCUACCGUUAAAUUCGGAACUUGAAAUUUAGAAGACAUGUAGAUUUGUGUUCGUCCCGUCGAAGCGCAAAGAAUGAUUCAUAAUAGUUGUUCGCAAUUCUUUAUACUGAUUAUACGACCACCAUCACGUCCGGGUCACCAAUUUAAGGUAAUAAAAAACAGGAAGAUGAUAUUGCAUAAUAUGAUAUUGCUCUAUAUAUCGACUGUCUAUAUGUUAGGAGCUUGUACAAUACGCAAACUUAUCUUGAAAAUAUUGUGACCACUGUUCAAGUUAUUGUCAAAUACCCUCUAUUUUACGAUAACUACCGCUACAUGUCAACGACCUGCAGAGACGUAUUCCCAAUUUUUUUUAAAUUUAAACUUGUACAUUGCUUAAACUAUUUCGCUCCGAUAUUCAUCACGCCUUCAAGGAAUCUGGGUAUUUAAUUGCAUGCUUCCACCACAAGUUACUUGUGAAUAUCGUUAUUUUAACAACAGGAAUAACCGAACUCAAAUAGAACAAGCAUAUCUACUGGGAACCUUUAAAACACAACAUGGACUUCAAAGGAACACACGGAUAAAACUUACUUAUCUAUUUAAUGGUGACAUCUGAAAAUUAUUGAGAUAUUGUUUCAGUAUCUAGACAAAUACAUAAAUGUUUUAUGAAGACCUAAGAAAUUUUCGGUACCAGCUAAGUUCAGGGGACUUUACAAUGUCAAAAGCUCACCUGUACCACUGUAACAUAGCACCGGUAAUAAGACAACCGCCUGGCAUUUGGAAUGACAUUCUACCGAAAACAUUCUGCAGCUCCCCGCUGUCUGGAUGGAAUGCUGAUUCAUAAAGCUGUUUCGCCUUAAUUACUUGCUCUAAUUUUGUCCCUGGCUGCUCACGACCUGCUCUGAACAUUGAAUUAGAAAAAUAUGAUCAAAUAUGUAAAAUUAAUAUUGCCUUUGUUUGUAUUAUAUAUACUUCAACUUUCUACUCAAUCGUAAAUGCUACUCAUAUGUCUAGUAAACCAAACAACAUUUAAUAUAACAAUAUUUACAGUUAAUCUCCCAUUUUAUUGUUAUUGGUCUGUGACCACAAAAAAAGUAAUAUUCAAAAUGUCAAGAAUAGUAAUAUGACAAAUAAAAAUGCAAUAUUAAACUAGACAAGUACUUUUCA